rnacentral:lncRNA from 1 species
UGGUGGUGACUUGUAAACUGGAGUUGGUGGUGAUGGUGAUUUGUAGACUGAGUGUGUAGAGAGUAGUAUGACUCCUUAGGUGGUGGUGGUGAAUUGUAAAUGGGAGUUGGUGGUGGCAGAGACUUAUAAACUGGUGCGGGAUUGAUAUAGCUCCUUGGGUGUGGAGGCGAUAUGUAGACUAGGGUUGGUGGAGGUGGUGACUUGUUGACUGGGUGUGUGGAGGGUAGUAAGGCUCCUUAGUAGUGGUGGCGACUUGUAAACUGUAGUCGGUAGAGGCGGUGACUUGUAGAUUGGGGUAUGAGGAGGGUAGUAUGGCUCCUUAAGUGGUUGUGGUGACUUGUAAACUGGAGUCGGCGAAGGUGGCGACUUAUAGACUGGGUGUUUGGAGGGUAGUAAGGCUCUUUGGGUGGGGGUGGCAACGUAUAAACUUGAGUUAGUGGAAGUGGUGAUUUGUAGACUGGGUGUGUGGGGGAUAGUAUGGCUCCUUAGGUAGUAGUGGUGAUUGGUAAAUAGGAGCCGGUGGAAAUGGCGACUUAUAGACUGGGUGUGUGGAGGGUAGUAAGGCUCUUUUGGUGGGGGUGACGACUUGUAAACUGGAGUUGAUGGAGGUGGCAAUUUGUAGACUGGGGUGUGUGGAGGAUAGUAUGGCUCCUUGGGUGGUGAUGGUGGUGACUAGUAAAGCGGAGUUGAAGGUGAUGGUGAUUUAUAAAGUGGUGCAGGAUGAUAAGGUGUUGGUGAAGGAUGGUAUGGCUCUUUUGGUGAUGGUGGAGAUAAAUAUUGAUAAUUUGCUGAGCUUUGGGAAGCCAAGCAAAGUGACACAAAAACCACUAAAAGAGUGGAAAAUAGAGAGGCCAUUUCUCCCAAAAAGAAACAAAGGAGAGAAGUUGUUGUCCCUUUAAGCUGCACUCAAAGCCCUUUGUAUAGCUUUCAUUUAGAAGGUAUAAGGCUAAAGUUAUGUAUUUUUAAUUAGUUUUGUCAUGUUGUCGGUUCAAUUUGACCUUUGUUGGUAUACUUUUUUUUUUUUGUUGGAUAGAAGGUGCAAGCUAAGCAAAGAAAUUAACUACUAUGGCAGCUAUACUAUUUAUGAUGCAAUAAUUCAAAAAAAAAUACGUGGAUCCCACAACUUCCCACAAGAUUUUAGUUAUAGGAAUCUGAGCACUUUUUUUUUACACUUAGGGUGUGUAUGGUACGAUGGAAAAUAUUUUCUGAAAAAUGUUGGUUGUAGUAAAAAAUAUUUUCUAAGAUAAUUCAUUUUUUCCUAUUUGAGGGAAAAUGACUUCCCUCAUGGACCAAGGGAAGUUAUUUUUCGGAAAAUGAUAAAUGUGACUUAUGCCCCCAUCCUCACCCCUCUUCCCACCCCAACAACACUCAUAUUCACAUAACUCAAAAAAUUCACAUUUUUAAAAAAUUUAUUUUACUCAAAAUAUUUUUCACUGUGCUUUGCUUCAAUUUUUCACUGCUUGAAAUAAAAAAUAGUGAAGCCCGACUUUUUUUCAUUUCCAAUGUUCGUUGAAUGUAUUGUUAUUUUCAUAUGCAUAGAGGAAGACUUACCUAUGUUACUUUUGCUAAUUGCAUAUUUUAUUUUGUCAUCGAUGUUACUUCUUUCACGAGGUUGAAUAAGCUUAUCGUCCCGUUAUAUUUCUAUUGAUUGUAGUAUCUUGAGAUUGUCCUGAAAAAAUGUUGAAAAGUGUCUCCUAUAUUUGCUAAUUAAUAGUUGCUUAAAUUUAGUGAUUGUAAUAUUUUAGUAUUCGAUAUUGAUAUUAUUUAUUAUGCUUAAAUUAGUUCUUACAAAUUGUUGAGUUGCUAGAUGCACUGAUAUACUAGUUAACAGUUAGUAGUAUUUUCUAAAAAAAAAAAUUUCACUCACCAAUCAAACACUAGAAAAUAUUUUUCUAAAAAAUAUUUUCUACUCACCAACCAAACACCAUAAAAUAUUUUUCGAAAAUAUUUUUCACUCACCAACCAAACAUGAGAAAAUAAAUAGAAAACCAACUUAUUUUCCAAGAAAACAUUUUUCAUGAAAAAUAUUUUCCAUCGUACCAAACACACCCUUAGUAUUUGAAGAAUUCAAUUCUUGUGGAUUCUGACAGCUUAACUAACCUUCACUUAAGUGCUGAGAAAUUUAAAACAAUAUGUAUACAGUAUCAUAUAUUCUUUAAAAGAAAUGAUAUGUCAUUGUUAAAAGAGUUUAAUCUAGAGAAAACUGUGCAUGUGACUCGCUUUCAUUACCAACUAAAUCAAUUAUGUUCUUUCCUUUUGUGUAGUAGAGCUAAAAGAAACAUCAACCGAUUAUUUUGUAGCUCAAUGUUGAAAACUUAUGUGGUUCAAUAUGAUAUCUCUGAAAAUUUUACAGCUUGUUUGAUAGCUGCUGCCUAAUAAUGUAUUGUAUCGUGUUGCUAGUUUAAAUAUAAUGUGUAUUUUGAUUGUUUCUUAAAUUUUACUGUAUCAUUAAAUCUAUAACUAGAUAGCAAUAAAAAGUCUCAUUUGGUGUAACGACCUAUUUGAUGUGAUCGCGUUGUUACCUUUUUUCCCCUUUUUAUUUAUUAUUUAAUUAUCUUAAUGCUCCUUUAUCCUAUAUUUUUAUAGUAACUCUACCUCACAUUUUUCUAUUUUCCUUCUAGGCUUAUCCUUGAACUGUUAUAUGAAGGAUGCAAUGUAAUGACGAAAAAGGUAUAAUAAAUCCAAAUAUCGUAACAUUCACUAAAAUAAUAAAGUACAUACAAUACAACAUGAUACUUUAUGAAACAAUAUCAUUCCAAGUUAAGGACUUGAUUAGAAUGUGCAUGUUAAGUGUCUGAUGGGUUACUUAAGUAUAAAGUUCAAGUCCAUAUAAAAAGAUAAACCCUAAUUAUAAUGCCUUCAUCAUGGCUGGUCGACAGUAGUCUACUACUGAAUUUCCUCCUUUGAACCCAAAUUCUAUUGUGAAUAUCCAAACCCUACCGUUGGAUAAAUCUUUUGUUGAAUCAAUCAGUACAACAAAGUUGGACACCGUCUCUCGCAAAGAGGUGGUCAUGGUGGAAGGAAUCCCGAAUGUCACACUGAAAAAAGUGGAUACAGUGAAUAAAAUGGAGAAUUUGCAAUUUGUUGUCAUAGGUAAAUUCACUUAAGAAUGGACGGGUAUAGAAGAAUUAAGGAAUAUUAUCCCACAGCAAUGCAACAUUAAUGGUGAUUGUCAAAUUGGAGUAUUCAGAAAUAAACAUAUUUUCAUUCGUUAGACACAGGAGUCGGAUUUUAUUAAUAUCAUCAUCUCAAAGGGAGCUUUUUCCUUGCACUGUAAGGAUGGGUUCUCUUAUUUGAUGCGAACACUCUCACACUUAUCUAUGAUCCCCUUUUCAAAGAAACUUUAGAGACUACAAAGACUUUCGCAUGGAUUUCUUUCCCAAAUCUAUUGCCUACCUAUUAUGUCAAGGAAUGUUUGUUUUCUUUAGCUGCAACAGUGGGAAAGCCUGUCCAACUUGAUCUAGCCACCAUUAAUAGGACUAGACCAAGUUGUGCAAGGAUUAAGGUCUUGGUUGAUCUAAAAGCUGAUUUCUCUAAAUCAGUCCGGAUGGAUAUUGAAAAUGAAGAGUCAGGUAAAUGCAGGACAAUAGUGAAGCGGAUUAAAUUCGACCAUAUUCCUAAGUAUUGUCAUGAAUGCAAUAUGCAAGUUCAUGCUAAGAAUCAAUGUAGAAACUUAGGCACCCCAGAGGAUGCAACAAUGGCAGUAACAGUGGAUAAUAAGGAAUAAAAGAGGCCAGUACAACAUCUUCCUAAAUUCACAAUGCCUUUUGUACACAAAUUUCAAAACGGAAAAGCAUGAGUUCUUUCGAGUGGGAUUGUAGUUGGAGAUCCUACUAACUGGAUGGUUAUUAAAAAUGAUAAGAGGAUAGUUAAUACUUCCCAACAGCCUCUUUUAAUGAUAUAGUUAAUACUUCCCAACAGCCUCUUUCAAUGACAAAUAACCAAUUUGCUGCUCUAGCUACCGACGACAAAGAACCUGCUGAAUUAAACAUUUCGACAAAGGAGAGUUCAAACCUUAAGGCAUGUACGGAUGUGUUCCAAAUAAUAAGGAAAAUGAAAAAGUUAAUCUGUGGUCCAAUAAAGAAUCUGCUAAAGAGUGGGUAUCAAGGGAUUUUGGCAAGCUAGGUGAAGUUCCCAAUUCUGUAAUACCUGUACAGCAACAAGGCAGUCAGCAACUAAGUAAUCAACAACAAAGGCAAGAUAGAGAUAAUAAUGCUAAAGAGAAUAAUAAAGAUGGUAAUGGGAUGGAGAAUGAUAUGCAGGUUAAAUCUUUAAUAAAUCAGGAGCAUAAUAUUGAUGAUGGUCAGCAACAAUGCCUCAUAGUCAAAAAGGACAAUCUGCAAUCUAUAGAAGAUGUGCAACCAGAUACCAAGCAAUAGUCAAUGCAGAUUAAUCAAGAUUUUUACAGUGGAAGCUAUGAUAAUGGAGAUAGGUCAGUUGAGGAAAGUGUGGGGAUAACAGUUGUGAUGCAAGGGGAACAAAAUGUGUGUUUAGAAAUAAUGGAGAUUCCAAAACCAGUGCAGAUAGAUGAAUCAUUUAUCGUUACCAAGAGUUCUCCCAACAAAGUAAUACAUGACAUUGUCUCUCAUAGUUUAGGGUACAUUAAAUGCAGUAAUCAAACUCACAUGGCCAAAGGAGUUAAAGAAGUAGAUGUAGAAGAUGAUUCGAAGGAUCAUGCUCCAUCGGAAGCUGAUUUAUCACCAAGACUGAUGAAAAUCUCUAAAAAAGGAUAAAAAAGAAUGUGGAUGGGAGAAAACUCACAACCUACCAGAGUUCAUCCUAAGCGAUCCAAAUCUGCCCUAAAUUAUCAAUGAAAGCACUUAUUUGGAACAUUAGGUCUGUGAAGACACAACAAGAUUUCAAAGACUUCAGAUGCUUAAUAAUUAUCAUAAGUUCACCGGUUUCAGUUUGUUAGAGCCUUUUCAGAAUGUUAGAUAUAAGAGAAGAUUGAAAAUGCAUAGGGCUAUGUCAAACUGCAAUAGCAAGAUUUGGUUUUUCUCCUCUCAAGAUGUGAUAACAACUGUUAUUAAAGACACUGAUCAUCAGCUACAGUUCACUUGCAGGAGUAGGCUCAGAGCUUAGAUUUAUUACUCUUGUUUAUGCAAAGUGUUCUAAAGAGGAGAGAUUAAUCUUAUGGAAGGAUAUUUAUCAAGUUGCUUCUGGAAUUUCAAAACCUUGGAUGCUAGGAGGAGAUUUAAUGUUGUUUUGAAUUCUGAAGAGAAAAUUGGUGGCCUUCCAAUUCUUGAUGCAGGCCAUGGGGACUUUCAAUCAUGUAUUUCUUAUUGUGAUUUGAUGGAGAUACCUUUUAAAGAAAGUUCUUUCACUUGGUGGAAUGGUAGAGCAGGUAAUGACUGUAUUUUAGAAAGAUUGGAUAGAAUUUUUACUAAUCAACAACAACAACAACAACAACAACAACAACAACAAACCCAGUGUAUUCCCACCUAGUGGGGUCUGGGGGGGUAAGAUGUACGCAGUCCAUACCUCUACCUCUGCUGAAUUUUUACUAAUCAAGAUUUACAAAAUAAGUUCAAUCACAUGAAGGUAGAACAUCUUGCUACUAGUUCAGAUCAUGCUCCCAUGUUGUUGUAUUGUUAUGACAGAGCUAUCAGUUACAAGAAAUCUUUUAGAUUUCUUAAGUUUUGGACUGAUCAUCCUAAGUUCCUAGAAGUAGUAAGGCAGAAUUGGUGUUCUUCAGGUUCUCAGAGUCCAUUCUUAGAUUUCAAAGCAAAGAUUAAGAGAAUUAAAGUUGCUUUGACAAGAUGGAGUAAAGAGACUUCUGGGGAUAUUUUUAAAUAGUUGAUAAUCAGGGAAGAAAUUGUCAAGAUCAAAGAGAAAUUAUUUGAGGAAUGCCCUACGGCUGAUAACAGCGAAGUGUUGCAAAGAGCUCAGUCCGAGCACAAAAUAUAUCUUCGUUUUGAAGAGAUUUUUUGGCAGCAAAAAGCAGGUUAUGACUGGUUUGAGAAUGGUGACAGAAAUAUUAAAUUUUUUCAUAGCACUGUGAAGGGGAGGAGGAAAAGAUUGAAUUUGAAUAGAAUUCAAAUUAAUCAGGGUAUUUGGCUGGAUAAAGAAGAAAAGAUAGCCGCAGAGGUUGUUAUGUUUUAUCAGGACCAAUUUAGACAAGAACAAGAGGCUAAUGUUUUUUCAUAACUGAAUAAUAUACCUAAGAGUAUUUCUGAUGAGCAAAAUAUUGUUUUAAGUCAGUAAGCUGAUCUUGAAGAAGUUAAAAAGGCACUUUUUAGCUUAAAUGAAUAUAGUGCAAGUGGCCCGGAUGGGUUAACAAGUAGGUUCUAUCAGGUUCGCUGGGAUAUUAUUGGUAAUGAUGUUCUUAAUCUGGUGCAAGAUUUCUUAAAAGGUAAUACUCUUCCCAAAUUCAUUAUUCAUACUAAUUUGGUGUUGCUUCCCAAGAAGGAUUUUAUUCAAUUUUUCUCAGAUUUGAGACCAAUUAGUCUUAAGUAAUUUUAUUAAUAAGAUCAUUUCUAGGAUUGUGCAUGACAAAAGUGAACUUCUUUUGCCUAGACUGAUUUCUUUUAAUCAAUCUAAAUUUGUCAAAGAGAGAAGAAUUAUUAAAAAUUUCCUCCUGACUCAAGAGAUAGUUACUGACAUCAGAAAAAUGGGUAAGCCGGCUAAUGUGGUCUUAAAGCUUGAUAUGACUAAGGCUUAUGAUAGGGUUUCCUGGUUUUUCCUGAUGAAGGUUCUAAGAAAAAUAGGGUUCUCAAAAUUGUUUAUGGACUUGUUUUGGAGAUUAUUGUCUAAUAAUUGGUAUUCUAUACUAAUUAAUGGGCGAUCACACGGCUUUUUUCACUCAACUAGGGGAGUAAAACAAAGAAAUCCUUUAUCUCCAGCUUUCUAUUUGAUGAUGCUCAAUAUGUAGGUUAUGAUAUGCCAAAGUGGAGUUCCAAUAUUAAUCAUCUUGCUUAUGCAGAUGACACUAUUAUAUUCGCUGCAGCUAACAGAUACUCUUUGAGAAAGAUUUUUUCAGUGUUACGGGAAUAUGAAACUCAAUCAGGGCAAAAAGUUAAUAAAGAGAAGAAUGCUUUCUACAUGCAUCAGAAUUCAGCUGCAGUUGAUAAACAAAUGGUGGAAGAUUGUGCGGCUAUUUCUAAAGGCCAAUUUCCUUUGAAAUACCUUGAAUGUCCUAUCACUCAUGCUAGAAAAAGAAAGAGUCAUUAUUCAGAGCUAAUUCAGAAGGUUAAGUCAAAAUUACAGGCUUGAAAAGGUAAUAUUCUCUCAUAUGGGGGGAAAGGAGGUCCUUAUCUCUAGUGUUCUUCAAAGUGUUCCUAUACAUAUCCUUUCUGUUGUUGUCCCUCCUAUUUGUGUAUUGAAGGAGCUUCACAGAAUAUUUGCAAAUUUUUUUGGAGUAAUAAGGCCGAUGGAAGAAACAAACACUGGGCUGCUUGGGUAAAGGUGUUUUUACCAAAACAGAAGGCAGUUUGAGUUUUAGAUCGAUGUUUGAGGUAUCUCAAGCCAUGUAUCCUAAGUUCUGGUGGAAGUUCAGAACUCAAAAUACUACUUGGUCCAACUUUAUAUGAGACAAGUAUUGCAAAAAGCAAAUACCUUCACUAGUUUAAUGGAAAGGUGGCUCGCAAGUAAGGAAGCAUAUGUUGCAAAAUAGGGAUCUAGUGGAGCAAUUCUUGUGGUGGAACCUAAAGGAGGUACUUCUACAGUUUGGUAUGAUAAUUGGACUCAACUUGGUCCUCUUUUCAAACACCAGGUAGAGGUCAUUCUUCUUUUCCAGUGAUGGAUAUUGAGGAAUUCAUGUUGGGCUCAGACUGGGAUUUUGAGAAUAUGCAAUAUCAUUUAUCAGAUAAUGUAGUAGAGCAUGUAAGAUUACAUUUGAGGCUUGUACGACAUCCUGGAGAAGGUGACAAGCCCUGGUGGAUUAAAUUUAGUUCUGGCAAGUUCUCGGUUAAAAGUGCUUGGGAAGAACGGAGGAAAAAAACGUUUGUAAUGAGUCAUUUCAGAAGAUCUGGGUAAAAGAGAUUCCUUUCAAAAUUUCUUACUUUGGUUGGAGAGUUUGGACAAAUAGGAUUCCUGUAGCCUCUGUUUUAGCUAAUUGGAAUCCUAACUUGUCUCCUCUUUAUUCAUAUUGUGUUUCAAGAAAUCAUGGAGCACCUCUUUCUAAAAGGUGAAGUGGUUUAUUUCGGUUUGGAUUUAUUACGCCAAUGCUGCAGGUAUUCUGGGGCCCUGGGUUCAAAUUAAACUAUCCAUAAAGAAGUGGUGGGAUAUAAAUGGUAAUUAAAGACAAAGAUUCAUCUUUCAGGUAGUUCCUACUCUCAUUUUGUGGUUUUUACGGAAAAGAAGGAAUGCAUUAGUUCAUGGAGGUUCAUACUCUACAGCCAAGGUUAUUUGGGAUAUUAAUGGUUUAAUUAAGAAAAUUCUCAGAAAGAAGUUUGGUUAUGAUCAGUUACCAUCUAGUUGGCCUCAAAUAGUUGCUUUUUGACUUAUUUAGACCUACAUUUUUAUCUAGAUGGAUAAGAUGGUAUCCCCCACCUAGGGGAUAGUGGAAAUAUAACACUGAUGGAACCUCGAGAGGUAAUCUAGGUCGAAUUUCAGCUGAUUUUUGUGUACGAAAUCAUGUAGGUGAUCUUGUGUAUGCUAAGGGUUUCUCUAUUCCAGAUUCCACUAAUCUGGUUGUUAAAGUCAUUGCUAUAGGAGUUGGUUUACAUUAUUGCUUAGAAAAUCAAAUUGUCAACAUUAUUGUGGAAUCUGAUUCCCUUGUAGUAGUCAACAUGAUUAAUGGAGUGUGGGAAAUUCCUUAGAGUGUGAUAAUGGAGGUCAACUCCAUUAAAGAUAUGAUGGAUUCUUGUUCAGCAAGAGUACAACACUCCUUAGGAAAGGGAAAUACUCUUGCUGAUUAUUUAGCUAACUUGGUUUUUCAUUUUGCAGGUAACUUUGAAUUCAACAGUUUUCAUGAAAUUCCAAGCGCAGGUAGGAAGAUUAUCAAUCUAGACAAACAAGGCAUUCCACAAAUGAGGAUAAGACAGUGUACAUCAACUAAUUCAACAAGGGAUGGAUCGCUACUGCAGAUUACAAAGUGAAUUUACAAACUCUAUUAGCAGUGACUAGUUACUGGUGAAUUUAGUGCAGUCUGAAUUAGUUUCGUUUGGUUAACAUACCAUGCACCUGUGGGAAUUUUUAGGUGUUACAUAGAGUAUAAACCCAGGACUCACUUAUACUAGUUGCUAAUUUCUAGGUAUAGAGUUUAUAAAAAUCAAGCACAAAUUUAGAGGCAUUUCAUAGUCUCAAAUCUGUUGAUGAGGAGAGGAUGGAGUACCCGGGACCUCAAAUUUAGCGGCGGAAGAUAGACAGGGUAUAAUUAUCAAGCAAUACAAUUCUUUUAUACAGAUUCCACUUCAGAGAAGAACAAAAAUAAUCAUUGCCAACUUAUGGAUUGCAAAGUGUCAAAAUACAAAUUUCAGCAUUUGGAGUAACACAAGAAGGCAAGGAGCAAGAUAAGUAUUAAUGGACAGUAGUGGUGAUUAACAUUCACUAAUACUGAUUGAUUUCUAAGUCAUACAAUUGAAAUGGGGGUUAAGGUGAACCUGUUAGUUCUGGAUCCUUGGUGGUGGUAUCAAUCUCCUUGAGGUUUAUUCCGCUAGGAAAAAGAGAGAACAGUGAAAUCAUUUUUUUCAUUUCACAGAUGAGUUUAGAAUAGAAAAAGGGAGGUGACUUACCAUAUCAUCUGCAAUAAAUAUUUAUUGAUUUGGAGCUGUAGAAAUUUAGUUGAAACCAAUUUCAUGAAGUUUGUAAGAGAUUAAAGUGUCUUAGUGAAAUUUGAUGGAUGUUCCAUGGCAAUAAUGGCUUCCACAACUUAAUGCAACAACCAGAUGAGGUUGGAGUAGCAAAGAUUGAAACCAUAGUUGCCUCUCCGUGAUGUCUUUCAGCUUUGAGUUUUAUCCACACAUUCCUUUUCCUGCUUACAUUUUCUGUUUUUGGUCUUUUCAGAUGUCUGGAUAUAUUUGUUGCUUUUGUUUUGGACCCGGGUCUUGCUUAACUUGGGCCAAUUUGUACAUAUCUUUUCUGCUCCUGAAUAAAUUGGGCUCUGGUCCAUCUUCAAUUAAAAAAAAGGAAAAAUGACAUGGACUGACCAGUUUAAAAAAAGGAAAUUUUGCAUAUAUACCGACAUGUUUACUCUUAAUUACCAAAAAUUUCAACAUUUUUCAAAAUCUCCAAAAAUUCCAACAUUUGACCUCUGAUAAUACAAGUUAAUCACAUUAGAUACAUACUGUUGAUAUAUGUAUCUAAUGUGAUUAACUUGUAUCAUACAUUAGAUAUAUGUAGGGUUACAUUAGAUACAUGUAGGGUUACAUUAAAUACAUGUAGGGUUAACUUGUAUCUCAAAAAUAGUCCCAAAUAUGAAAUGUUGGAAUUUAUGUAAUUUUUCAGAAGUAGGGGGAUUUUUAGAAAUUUUGAAAGUUAUGAUGUUUAUUUAUGUAAUUUUUUGUUAAAAAGAAAAAAAAUAGCCCACACUAUGAAAAUAUGGACAAUUGGAGCCAGUAGACCCAAUUUAUUUCCUGUUUUUUCAGUCAUUUGGCCCAAAACUAUUCUCCUUACACAAUUAAGGGGAUUAAAUACUCUUCACAGUAGGCUACUCUUAAAUCACUUUUCUUUUCAAACUAUACUUUCCCAAAAAAAUGUUCACCUCUAUUAUGUGUCGAUCAAUCUACUGUGUUUUGUGAUAACAAUUGAGUUAGUAGGGCACAUGCAGUCUCUAUACCCAAUUGAUACACUUUUGUACCAUAUUGAUACAUGUUUAUACCCAAUUGAUACUCUUUAUACUACAUUGAUACACUUUUAUACUCAAUUGAUACUCUUUUAUACUAGAUUGAUACACUUUUAUACCACGUCGAUACAGUAUGUAUAUUACAUAAAUACAUCUUUUACAGAGGAAAUUUGUGCAAGCAUAUACAGUAACAAUACCAAAUUAAUACAGUAAAUCAAAAUUAGUAAGUACGAACAUAAUUGAUACUCUUUAAAAUUAUAGUAUUAAUAGUACAUAAAGUAACAAAAAAAAAGAUCAAAUCAUCUUUCCAUCAAUUAUUGUUUUGAUUUAGUUCAUUCUUUCUCCUUAACGCUCUUUUAUAUUUCUAACUUCCUCUUCCUACCUUUAUUUUCUCUUCUUUUUUUCUUUCCUUCAUUACUAAGUUAGUUGUAAACACCCAUAUGAUGAAGUAUGUAUUUACUCUUGAGUUGAUGUCAUAUUUAUCCUACUAAGAAAAAUCACAGGUUCUGUAAGGAAUUGUCUAGACAUGGAGUACAUAUAAAAAUUUAUUCUGCCACUUGAAAAAAACCUGUAAAAAACUAAUUAAAUUCAGAUUUUUUGAGAUUUUAUACAAAAUUUAUGAAAUGAGAAAGGUAAAUUGGAGUAUCGAAAAAAGGUAAAGGAACAAAUAUUUAGGAGUUUGAAUGGAAAGGAAACUGGGAAUGAAAAGAAAAGAAAGAAAGGGAAAGUUACUUCAAGGAUGUUUUUGAUUUUGUUUAAGCGUAUGACAGUGAAGGUUAGUUAGUGGAAUUACUCUGUGUCUAUUUAUGAUGUAUUUAAUUUUGACUGCUAUUUUUUUAUAUUAUUUUAGUUUUAGGUGUUAUUUCUGUCAUUUGCCCAAAAAAAAAAACUUACUAUUUUACUACAAUUCUUGUUGGUAAGAAUACAUUAUUUCUUUUUUUUUUUUAGGGCAAACAACAUAAAUUUCGAGAAUUUGGAGCUUAAUUACAGAAAAUUCUGAUAUUUUGCAUAAUUGUUGAAAAUCUCAAUUUUGGAUCUGUUGAGAUACAUUAUUAGCUUCUGAUACAAUCAAAAAGAUACAUUUUUAACUUUGUAUAGAUAUAUAAUUAGCUUCCGCUACAUAUUUUUUAAAUUUUGCGUUUGUUGAGAUAUAUAAUACAUCCAAUGAAGAUAUAUUUUUUUCUUUGUAAAGAUAUAUAAUUAGCUCCCAGUGCAGUUUUUUUAUUUUUGGGUCUGUCGAGAUACAUAAUAAGCUUUCGAUACAUCCAACGAAGAUAUAUAAUUAAUUGAGCUUUUUGUAGUUAUUUUGUAAGAGUGAAAAUUUUGUAUAAAUAUAAUAAGUUAAGAUGUAUAUUUAUACUAUUUUUCCAUAAUUUGCUUGCGAACCAAAUCGACCACUAAAGAAUUGAAAAGUUAAACAAUUUGUUCCCAAUACAGAACAAACUUUAGCCUAAAAUUUAAUGCUAAAAAUUACUACAAUGAGCUGAGUGGCUGAAAUGGUGCCACUUAAGAAUAAUUUGGUGGAUGAAAUGAAUGAAUUGUUUUGGAGUACAAAUUUUGAUUUAGACAAUCUAUUGAAAUUUAUUAUAGUACUGUUUAUAUUUAGGGGCCAUUUUUCAGGAUCUAUGAAAAAUUUAUAAUGUUGAGUAGAACAUACUAUAAAAGUAAUGUUGGAUAGAGCAUAUCACACAUUAGCACAAUCCUAAUCAAUAAUGAUAGCUAUUCAUCUCUAGUUCACUUUUAUAGUUAAUCAAAGAAUUAUUAACAACGAAAAUUAAUUUUCUUGUUUUGGUUUUCUAUCAUUGAAUCAGCAAUAGUUUGAUAUAAGAACUAUUCAGAACAGACUAAAUUAAAGAGAAAGAUGGAAUACCGUCAAUGAAAAUAAUAGGAUAUGAUAUCUUCAAAGAUAAAGAAGGCAGUGAACUUUUUACACAUAUAAUACGUAUAAUUAUUAAAGAAUAUAAAAGAAAUUAAAAAAAGGACAUACAGUACAUAUAUAAACUGGAAAAGAAGAUCAAUAAUGUAAAAGUUUGAUGUUAACACUGUUCCUUAAUUAAAAUUUCCAUAAUGAUUAUACUCGCUAUUUUCUUUCAUUUGCACAAAUCAAUAUGCUCCUUUCCCCCCUUUUUUUCUCCUGAUCACUCCUUAAAGAACGAGACAUAUAGCAUACAUAGAGAAGAGAGUACUUUGUCUCCCUCAAUAAAUACCUUGAGAAAAAAAUGUAACUCAUUAGUAGUUUCUUGAUUUUGUAAAAUUUUCUUUAUUUAAAAAAGAGUAACAUUGGAAGAAGGUCAUUAGUAUCUUUUUUAUUAUCUAAAACAACAUUUAUUAUCUUUUUUAUUAUCUAAAACAACAUUUAUUAGGAGCAAAAUAAAAAAGCUAAACAACCACUUAUUAGAAACAGAGGGAGUACUAAUUAUCUGAUAGUGUUUUCAGUGUUACGCAUCAUGAACUAAAAGCUUAAUUUAAGAAGCAUUGACUGCUUAAUGAAAUCUUUUAAUUCACAAUGAUAAUAAGGAAAUCCAAUUUGUGUUGUAUCAUUCUAGCCUUUCCAUUUUUUAUGGAGACAAAGCAUUAAUAGACAAAUGGAGAUUGGACAUAUCAAGAUUUCAGUCUCAUCCUGUCAAAUCAUUAAUUGUAAAACCUUCAUGUAUUUCUAUGUUCAGCCUAAGAUAUUAAGGGGUUAAUAUUCUUUCAAAACAUGGAGAGUUUCUGAUAUUGGGAGACAUGGUUGUUUGUCGAAUAUAUUUAUUUCUCAAUAAUUGAAAUAUAUAAUUGUAUUUGAUGUGAAGAAAGUAUUAGUUAAAAUGCAGUUUGGUUCAUUUUGGCUAGGGAUUCCAUCCUUUCCAUGUAUAAAAGUUUUUGAAUGUAAGGAUGAGAAAUCAAGGUAUCUGCUACACUUUUUUUAUAUAUACGUGUAGCGCAUGUAUCGAGAAAUUAGUAAAAGAAAAAAAAAAUUCCUCAGCUAAUUCUCAAUCAACACCAACUCCAUCUUAGGAAAGUGUGGUUGGUUCUGUUCUUCCUCGAAUUCAAUGAAUUUUUGUCAUAUUGUCAUACAUAUAACGAAUAAUAUAUAUAUNNNNNNNNNNNNNNNNNNNNNNNNNNNNNNNNNNNNNNNNNNNNNNNNNNNNNNNNNNNNNNNNNNNNNNNNNNNNNNNNNNNNNNNNNNNNNNNNNNNNNNNNNNNNNNNNNNNNNNNNNNNNNNNNNNNNNNNNNNNNNNNNNNNNNNNNNNNNNNNNNNNNNNNNNNNNNNNNNNUAUGCCUCUUUUCCUCUUUAAAUUUUAAAGUAAUAAUUAAGAAGAAAAAAGAAGAAGAUACUAUUCAAUAAUUUAAUUCUGAUACCAUCAACAUGGAAGACUCCAUUUGCUUCAUCUAACAAUGGACUUUGGCAUUAUAUAAUUAACAAAACAAUUAAUUAUUAGGAUAACUUAAUCACCGACAAAGGUUUCUUACUAUUAUCCUUAUGAGAUUCCACUAGUUAAGCUAAAUAUUUUUAAUCGACGUAAGAGUUAUGAAUGUAUAAACAAGUAGAUCUUAGCUACAUUGACCUAGUCAAUCAUUAUUAUUACCGACAUAUUUAUGCUAUACAAAUAUUUGUCCUAAUGCUAUCUUUUAUUUAUUUUUUUAAUGGAAAAGGGUCAAAAAGAUUCCUGAAUUAUUCGAAGUGGAGCAAAAAUAUCCCUCAUUAGUUUUUUGUCUCAAAAGUAUCCCUCUCUAAUGAAAUAACACCAAGCAUGUCAUGUAGACAAAAUACGUCACUUGAACAGUUCACGUCAGAUCGACCAUCUUUAUUAAAGGUGAAUGCUCCAUUAAAUGAGAGAUUUUCCAUGUGGAUAUUGGCGCCUAGCGUGGACUGUUCAAGUGGCGCUUUUUGUCCACGGACAUACUUAGUAUCAUUCUGUUAGAGAGAUGAAUAGUUUUGAGCCAAAAAUUUAAUGGAGGAAUAGUUGUAAGCAAAAAAAUUAACGAAAGAUAUUUUUACUUUAUUUCAAAUAAUUUAGGAAUAUUUUUAAUCGUUUUUUGCUUUUUUAUGAUUUCUAAGUUGCUUAUAAUUUUUUUAUUACUACAUGAUUAACAAUAUUUUUUUAUUUCCAUAAAUAACAGAGAGUAAACUAAGUUGCACCUUAAUGGUCGAAAAGUAUUCACUAUUUUUUUUAGACUUAAAGAGGUGAUUCUGAUACAUGUCUUAUGAACAAUCAUUACAAAUUUUAUUAUUUUAAAUUUUGUUUUAGAUAAGUCUAUGAUUAAGUUGUUGGUGACCAAUUUAUUCAAUUGAGUGAGGCUGGCAUGUCCAAAGAUUUUAGGACGAAGAAACGGGUUAUUAUGUUAAUUAGGUAGAUUUAUUUUAGGGAGAAAUAAGACAUAUGCUUUAAUUUGUAAAUAUUAAUAAGUAUUUUUCCAUUUAAGCAUAGCUUCUUUUAAAUUUAAAUUAGUAAUCAAACAGUGUUUAGUAGUAUUUUCUACCUUGUUGGCUUUGUCACACAUUUGAGAGAUGCUAAAAAUGUGUAUUAAAAAAAAAAUAAGAUGGAAAGAGAAGCAUACUGGCUCAAAGGUAAAGCCGCUAAAACGUGCUUUAAGGUUCAAAAAUAGUAUUUUUAUUAUAUAAUUAGUCUCUCCUAUGUUUUACAGUUUAUAGUCUAUAUGCAAUAAAUCAAAUUCUAUUAUAUAAUUUUUUAUAUAAAAAUAAAAGUUUCUUUAAAGUUAUUAAAGGAUGUCCAUUUGUUGUAAUAAAAUACAUUGAUUUUGGUUCUCAGAAUCCUAUUGGUACAUAAUAAACUUUGGCUAUUUUAAUUCAAAGUUUUAAAAUAUCAAAUACAAUUCUAUAAUCUUUAACUAAAAAUUUAAAAAUAAGAUUAUUAAACUUCCGAUGAUAUGAUUGUAUAAGAAAAUAAUAAACAUUUUAAAAUGUUAUUGUAACUUUAUAUAAUACAUGUAACAGUAUUUUUCUAGUGAUUAUAAGAAGAAUUUUAUUGAAAAAUCAAACGUAAUUGUAACUUGCGGUAUUGAAAGUAAAAUUUGAUGGCGAGGAAAAUAUGAGUCCAUUCUUAUGUCAUUAAAAUUUAUAAACCUUUUUAUUAAGAUGACUUGAAAAUGGUAUUUAACUAUAUAUAAUUUAUAAUUUUUUAAUUAUCAUAAAUAAAAUAUUUCAUUUUCGUGAUAUUUUAGUUUGGAUUGCUUUCUAUCUAUCAUUAAUGACAAAAUACAUCGUCAGACCCCUUAAAUUGACACCAUUUUUCACUUUGGCAUCUUAAGUGGACAUUGUUCACCUUUGGCAGUUCAAAUAACCAUAAAGUGUAUCAUUUUGACAUCUUUCGACAUCAAUAAAAGUGUGUGUUACACUCACUGUCAACGUGGAUAAAACGGCCAACUGAUUUAUGCCAAUUCAUUUAAAUUGCCACAUCAUUAUUUAUAUUCACAAUUAGUUUUAAAAAAAAUAAAAUCAAAACAUAUGGCAAUUAAUGACAUAAUUAUCUAACUCAUUAAUAUAUAUACAAAAUUAAAUUAAAAGAAUCAAUUAAUUACUGACACGUGACAUUUUUCAAAAUAAUUAUAAAAUUAUUUAUUUUAUUUGGACAACCCUCCACCCACCUCCCACCCCCAAACUCCAAAGUCAUCUUCUCUACCACCAUCUAUCCCCCCGAUACCCCCCACCCUAAAUCAUCUUCUCUAUUUGGCAACACCCCUCUUCCCGUCAUGUUCUCCAUCUCCCUCCCCCCCCACCACCCCCAACCCCUGCCUGAGUCAUCUUAUCCUCUCCAUUUGCCCCUUUGAAAAGAUGAACACUCAAUCAAAGAUUAUAGUAUAUAUGUAUAUCAAAGACCUUGAUUAGUCAUAGCUUGACCUCAAAAAUUAGAAGGCAUUAAAUGACUGUUUUUUUUCUUAACAAAAAAUAAAAAAGAAAUGAUUGACCUUGAAAUAUAUUCAUCAGUAGUAUGUGUGAACCUAUUCUUUGGCAACGCAGUGGUCUUCUUACUACUUCAGUUGCAGUCAUAACAUGUUGACAAAGAUGGUGAUUGCUCAACAACAAAUCACUCGUUGUUGUUAGUGUGUUAGUGUGUUUCGUUAUUCUUGAAAAGUUCAACCUCCAUUAAUGGAAGUUAAGCUAAAGAAAGGUUGUGUGAAGAAGGCAAUGUGAGGAAAUUUUUUGUAAUUAUUUGGUCAAUAAAACAUGUGCCAUUAAUUUAUUGGAUCAAUUUUUACUGAUUUGGCAAUAGAGAUUUUCAAUAGUUUUAAAAAAAAUUUAAAGAUGAAAAAUUACAAAAAUAUCCCUAAAAAUUUAUGAAAAUACUCUUCAAACGCUCCAAAAAGUGAGCAACGUCCACUUGAAGUGCCAAAAUGAAAGAUAGCACCAAGUUGAGGACCGACAAUAUAUUCUUUCUUCAUUAAUUAGUGCAUGUACUACUCCUGUACUCCAUUGGUUUUGAUUUUUUCUUGUUCCUGCACAUUAUUUCUCCUUUUUUACUGUCUAUAUAGUACUAUUUUUUAACUUAGUAUGUUGAAAUUAAUUAUUUUUUAUUUGCAUAUGAAAAAGAAAUACUUAACUAGAUUGAUUCUUAUUCGUAUAUAAAAAGUUAAAAUAGUGAAAUUCAAGAAAAAUAUAUGAAUUUUAUAUUUGGCUUUAGAUGGCUAAUUAUAUUAAGCCGCCCUUGAAGGGACGGUGAAUUGUAAUAUUUUUUGUGGUUGACUAUGAGGCGAGCUAUAAUAUGAAAUCAAAUAAGUAACAUAGUAUAAUUAUGUGCUAAGUAAUGUGUCAUAUGAUAUUUUUCAAUUGAUUUGAAUUCAGUGUGAAUUAUAGUUAGUCCUUCCUUUUGGAUUUUUGUUAAACUGAAAUUUUCAUUUUUAUUACAUAGAGAGAGAAGUUAUAAAAAGGAUGAUUACAACGUGUUGUAACUUUUCAGGACGAAGAACAACAAGUCAUUGUUUUAUUAAAGAGGGAUUGUCCCUUGUCCAUAUCAGCUUUCAAGAAAAUAACAGAACAAAUGUUGAAUCUACUACUAUGAGAAAUUCAUCAUUUGUUUUGUUGGAGUUAGCCAAUGUCUGCUUUCUCCUUCCUAAUCCUAAAAUUAGCCAAACCAACUUUAUCCAACCUAUAAGUCCUUUAUAUUCAUCAUUAAGCUCUUGAAAUUGUUGUUGAGUACAAUGUUGAGGGUGUACUUAAUUUCUAAUCAUACAAUAGCGGUCUUUUUCACUCUUUGUAGUUGAUAUAUUGCCUCACCAAACACUAUUUUCCUCUCUUCGCUCUUUUUAAAUACACAAUAAAUGAAUUAGGAAGUUACAAUGCUUGUUAAGAAUAGCAUAGAGCUUUGGAGAAUGUUUGGACAGGAUGUACAGUUUCUUUUCCUAGAAGGCAUAUAUAGUCUUUGUGUGCUUGAUGUCUUGAAAAAGGAUAGAGAAAGACAAUCCAUACUACAUGAAAAAUAUUGAAUUGAGACAUAAUAUUUAUCAAUGGACAAGUCUGGCAUAGAGUUUAAACGGAUUUGUGAUAGAAUUAACUAAUUUAUAGUGUUGAUUUUAAUUUUUUCAAAAAUAAAUCAUAAAAUAGAUUGCCUAGCUUGACGUGUUAUGUGAUAUUAUGCAUAGAUUAAGUCCAUUGGAGGUUGUCUGAUUAGAGAAUCGGACAAUGCUUAGCAUGGGAAUUUCAUUGAAUAUGGAGCUAAGUGAGACUUUAAUCUCUCAUUUACUUGCUUUUUCAAAAGCAUUAUUUAAAACUGAGAAAUCGCUUCAAACUACUCCUCCACCCCAUUUUAGUUGGGCACAUUCUAUUUUAUACGGUGAUUAAGAAUCAUAAAUUGAAUGAUAAAUUUUACGAUCUUACCCUUUACUCAUAUUAAUGUUAUUCGUUGGGCAUAAGAAUGAACAUUGAAAUUGAAAUUGUUAACAUUUAAUAUAUACUAAAAAUUGUAGGGGAAAAAUAAAAAAAUAAUUAAUUUUAUCCUAAUUUAGUAAGUGGUCUUUUUUGGUGGGCUGAAACGCAUUAAAAAGAAAUAGCGGAGUAUUACAGUAGCACCUGGAUUAACCAGGAUCUACAAAAUUUGAGUUUGAGCUUAUGCCCUCUAAUGAAACAUUACAACACCUUGUUUGCCUAAUGAAACUAGUUCCUAGGAUGUCAGCCCAGGUAGCUUUGCAGCAUACAUUGGAGGAAUUACAAAAGAGUUUCUCUGUCCACAAACUUUCAGUCUUGCUCCUUCCUUAGCUAAUGCAUCCUUCACCAUAUUCUGCUCUUUAUAGCAGUGCUGGAUUUGUGGUCGUCCCAGACUCCUGAUUAGCAACCUGCAUCCAUUAAUUAUGGCAUUAUAGUGGAGGUUUCCCUCUUUGAGCAUAAUAAUAACCUUUUUCGAGUCUACAUUGAUGUCCACGGGAACUAAGGACAUUUCCUCCAUAAUUUUUAGUCCCUUUAGUUGAGCAAAGAGCUCCAUCUGGUUAUUAGUAAUCACAGGGAAAACUUUUUUGAAACCUGUAGUCCAAUUCCCUUCAUUGUCUCUAAUAACCCCUCCAAUACCACCCCUACCAGGAUUUCCCAAACAUGAGCCAUCAGUGUUAAGUUUAAAUCUUUCUUUAGAGGUUGGUUCCCACUUAACACUAAUGUUCAAUAAUCUAUUUGUCACGACCUGAAUCAAGGUCUGGCCGUGAUGGGCAUCCCUAGCCAACCAAGGUCGGAGAUGACCCCUAACCUUACCUCAAGAGCACAUCAGUAAAAACAAACAACAAAAUCCAACCAAGAUAAAAAGAGAAACAUAUGAUUCCAAAAGAAAGUUAAGAGUCAAAACCAACUCCAUAAUAAUAUCCCGACACUGCCUACAAAAGUCUCUAAUCCAAAAAUACCAACUAAGUCAAGACAUGUCCCCGACUAUAACAAAAGAAAUUCAAAAGUUCUGAAAUGAUAAAUGUAACUAAGAAAGAGGCCAAGUCUUUUGAUAGUUCAUAAGUUGGUUGAACUUGUGUUGAACUUAUUGUGGAUUAAAUACAAAUUUUGUACCCAGAAUAACAAUCUUAAGGAAUUUAUUAAUAAUUUUAAUUUUUGAGUUUCUAGAGAUUAAAACUUUUUGCUUUCUACGCUGUUUGAACUUUAUAGUGAUUUGAAGUUAUAAAAACUUCAUCACGGGUUAAUGUUCAUUCAGUUGAUGAUUAGAAGAACAUAAAAGCUUCAACAUUAAACUAGAAAUAAGUUGUUUAAAGUUUUUAAAACUUUAUUCUUAGUAUUUUGACUUACUAAAUUGGUUGUCUUUUUGUCACAGUAAAAAUGAUUAUUGAAAAUCAAGUUAAUGAUGGAAUGGUCAAUGUCACAACAACAAAUAUUGCUACUUAAAAUCGUUCAAAUGCUGCUCCGCCAAGGCACUGACAGAAAAAUCAGAAAGUUUUCUAGUGUGGAUUUUAAAAGAUGGCAGCAGAAGUUGUUCUUUUAUCUGACUACAUUAAAUCUACAAAGGUUCAUCACUGAAAGCAUUUCAGAGUUUUCGAAAGAAAUAUCCAAAAAUAUACUUUAUUACUACAAAAGCUUGAAAGCACUUGAAUUUUUUAUAUAAGAACUACAUACUGAGUGGCUACAACAUGGCAUGUACAAUGUGUACAGCAAUAUGAAGACCUCUAAGGAACUAUGGGUAGCUUUGGAAAAGAAGUACAACAUAGAGAAUGCAUGAAUGAAGAAAUUUAUUAUUGCAAGAUUUGUAGAUUUUAGGUGGUAGACAGUAAUACUGUAGUUACCCAAGUUCAAGAACCGCAAGUCAUCAUUCAUGAUCUCCUCACCAAAGGUAUAAAUUUGUUCUUGAUACUUACAUAGUCUCUGAUGUAGGCUUAAUUGUGAACGAGGCUUAUCAAGUAGCUGCUAUAAUCGAGAAGUUACCACAUUUGUGGAAAGACUUCAAAAACUACUUAAAGCACAAGCACAAGGAGAUGUCUUUCGAAGACCUUAUUGUGAGGUUAAGAAUCGAAGAGGACAAUAAAGCAUCAGAAAAGAGGUCUCGAUGGAAUUUACAAUAAGUAGAGAAAAUAUUGUGGAAGACGACCCCCAAUAAAUUAAAGAGAGAAAGGAAGCGUCAGGACAAUAAGGCAAUCCUCCUAAGAAGAAAUUCAAAGAAAAUUAUUUUAACUGUGACAAAGUUGGCCACAAGUCUUCAGAUUGUCAGGCUCCUAAGAAGGACAAGAAAAGAGGAUCAAGCUAACAUGGUUGAAUCCAAGAUGAUGUGGAGAUCUAUGUGCUAUGCUUUUGGAGUGCAUGUUGGUUGAAAAUCCUAGAGAGUAGUGGAUUAAUUCAGGUGCCACUAGCCACAAUGUGCCAACAAAAAAUUAUUUCCAUUAUAUUUUCUGGCUCAGGCUAAUGAGAACAUAUUCACGGUAACUCUGUUACGGUAAAGAUUGAAGGAAAAUGCAAGAUUUACUUGAAGAUGACAUUGGGCAAGGUGGUGACACUAAACAACGUCCUUUAUGUUUCAAAGUUGCGAAAGAACUUAGUUUCUACUUCACUUCUAACUAAAAAUAGAUUCAAAUAAGAAUUUGUUUCUGACAAAGCUGUAAUUAGUAAGCAAGAAGUGUAUGUAGGUAAAGGUUACUUCAUCGAGGAUUUUUUUAAGAUCAGUGUAAUAAAUGUUGAAAUCAAUAAAAAUUCUGUUUCUUCUUACUUACUUGAGUUAAAUGAAUUAUGGCAUGAACAUUUAGGACAUAUUAAUUACAAAACUUUGCAAAAACUGAUUAAUUUAAAAAUUUUGCCUAACUUUGAGUGUAAUAAAUCAAAUUGUCAAACAUGUGUGGAAUCUAAGUAUGCUAAGCAUCUAUAUAAGUCUGUUGAAAGGAAUUUCAAUCCCUUAGACUUAAUCCACACAAAUAUUUAUGCUAUGAAGUCAAUACCAUCUCAUGGUGAGAAAAAGUAUUUCAUAACUUUUAUUAAUGAUUGCGCUAGAUAUUGUUAUUUUUAUUUGCUAAAUGAUAAGAAUAAAGUAAUAGACGUAUUUUGGUAAUAUAAAACUAAAGUUGAAAACCAGUUGGAUAAAAAGAUCAAAAUAAUAAGAAGUAAUAGGAGUAGAGAGUAUGUAUCUUCUUUUGCAGGGGUAUGUUAGAAAAAAGGAAUUAUCCAUCAAACUAAUUUCCCGUAUUCACCUCAAUCAAAUGGGAUUGUGAAAAGAAAAAUUGAAUGUUAAAGAAAAUAAUAAUUGUCUUACUCAUAAGUUCAGAUAUACCGCAAAACUUGUGGGGGGAAGUUAUCCUUACAGCAAAUCGAAUACUCAAUAGAGUUCCCUAUAAGAAGACACACUCUAUCCUAUAUGAAAAUGAAAAGGAAGGAAACCCAACUUGAAAUAUUUCAAAGUGUGGGAUUGUCUAGCUAAAGUCCAAGUCUAUAUACCUAAAAGGAUAAAAAUAGGACCAAAGAUUGUGGAUUGUGUGUUCAUCGUAUAUGCUACAAGGAGUAAAGCAUUUCAAUAUUUGGUUCAUAAAUUCGAACCAUGAAAAUACGAUAAUCUGAAUCAGAUAAUAUUAAGUUCUUUGAAUACAUUUAUCCGUAUAAAAUUGGACAUGAGAUGUCUAGUGGAGGAUCUAAACAACCUCGAGAUGAACCAAAGGAGAAUGUACUUAAUAAUGAGAAUCAAGGUGUAGUACACGUCAAAUACCGUCAAUUUUCUUUGGAUAAGAUUUUGUAACAUUUCUUCUUGAAAAUGAGCCUUAAAAAUUGAAAGAAACGAUGUCGUCUUCAGACCCAUCCUUUUGGAAAGAGGCAAUCAAUGGUGAUAUAGAUUCAAUCUUGAGCAACCAUACUUAGGAAUUGAUUGAUCUUUCUCCGGUAAAUAAACCUUUAGGUUCUAAAUGGAUCUUCAAAAGGAAAAUAAAAGCUAGUGGUACUUUUGACAAUUAUAAGACAAGACUUGUUGUGAAAGAUUUUAGACAAAAAGAAGGCCUUUAUUAUUUCGAUACAUACUCGCCAAUAACAAGGAUAACGUUCAUUCAGAUGUUGGUUGCGUUGACGACAGUAUAUGAUGUUGAAAUUCAUCAAAUGGAUGUGAAUACAACGUUCUUAAAUAGAGAAUUGAAGGGAGAAAUUUACAUAAAACAACCUAAGGGUUUUGUAGUUUCUGGUAAAGAAAAGAAAUUGUGCAAACUUGUUAAAACACUUUAUGGAUUAAAACAAGCACCCAAAUAGUGGUAUAUAAAAUUUGACCAAACCAUGUUGGCAAACGAUUUCAGGAUAAACGAAUGUGAUAAAUGUGUUUACAUUAAAGACACUCCAAAUCACAAAGUCAUUAUUUGUUUGUAUGUGGAUGACAUGUUGACCAUCAGUAGAGACAUUCUAACAUAAAUGCUAUGAAAUAAAUGCCUGAGGGCAAGUUUGAUUUGAAAGACCUUAGAGUUGCUGACGUAAUCUUAGGGAUAAGAAUUUUUAGAACUCCAUAGGUAUUGGCGUUGUCACAGUCGCAUUACAUUGAAAAGGUGUUUGACAAGUUCAAGCAUUUAGAUUUCAAUAUUGUUGAGACUACAUUAGACAUGAGUUUUGCAUUUCAAAAGAAUGAAGGUGAAAGUAACUCACAGUUGGACUAUGCAAGAGUGUUGAAAAGUUUGGUGUAUAUAUCAUAAAUUGUACGUGAGAAGACAUAGAAUGCACUAUUAGUAAAUUAAGUCGGUAAAAGACUACUCCUAAUCAAACUCAUUGGAUGGAUAUGAAAAAAGUUUUAGGGUAUCUAAAACAUACCCAAGACUAUGUUUUUAUUAUAACAAAUAUCCAGCGUAGAUGAGGUGACUUUUCAAAAUAAUGUAAUUUUUCGUGAACCAUUACUUUCUUUCUGAAGCACCACAUUGUGGCUAUAAAUGCCUGAAUUUUUCCUCUGAUAAAGGUAUGAAGAUUUGAAGGGAAAAACAUUUUCUUUUUCUUCUUAAAACUCUGGUAUGAUCUUCAAACUAUUGAGUGAGUUCGUUGUUCAGAAAAUUUGAGGUACCACUAUUUUUUGAAGAGAAUCAUUUUUCGUAGGGAGGAUAUAUUCCUUUAACCUCGAGUACUUGACUAGAAUAAUUUUUUUAAGGAUACAUCGUGAAUUCAGUGGAUUUGACUCAAUCGUUUCUGUCUUCAUCCCAUUUUCUUAAAGUUGGUUUUAUUAUUUUUCCAGAAAAAUAGUUUGAACAUUAUAUUGAUAGUUCUUCAUUUGUUUGAACUUGUGUUUGAAGUUUUUGAAACUUCAUUUUGAUAGGUUAUAAGUUGUUGAACUUGUGUUGAAGUUAUUGUGGAUUAAAUACAGAUUUUGUACAAAAAAUAAUACGAAAUAGCUGUGAAACCUUGGGGAGCGACCAACUAAAAGAAUUUGCACCGAAGUCGAUCCGAAAUCACUUUCAAAGUAAUGGCUUACCACGACACAAUAUUUUCAGUUCCAUAUUAAUAUUAGAGUAAUUUUUCCAACAAGUGGCAAAGUUUGUUAUUUAACUACAAAAUUUGUUCGUCAACAAAUCCUUGUUUUUCUUUUGUUGGGUAGUAUAUUUUGGUUUUAUCUAAUCAAUCUAUUGACAAGCUAAGCGCCUACGAAAACGAUGUAGAUGUUCUACCUACGGGGGCGGGGGGGUGUCUAUUACAAUUACAAAAAUAAACUGAAUGUUGAGUUUCAGUUCCACUAACACCUUGCAAAAGUGAAUUACCCAUGAAAGAUGGGGGUAUUAUAUCAAAAAAAAAAAACAUAUCUUUUGUUGUUUUCUAAUUUCUAACGAUAUAUUUUUGAUCCAUUGCUUUCCCAUAGUAUGCUAACUUGACAGCCACUUUUUUUUGCUUUUCUAUAUACGUGGAACACUUUUUUUUUCGUCAAAAUGCGAAUCAUAAUUUAAUCCGUCAAUUUUUACUAAAUUGUAAUUGUCUUUUUUUUUUUAUAAACAGAGAUAGCAGGUAACCCAAGAAAAAAAAAUGUCUAGCAGAACAUAUUACGCAUCCUCGAAACUACUAUGACCUAUAAAACUAGAUGAUAAAAAAAUUGGUUUUAUCAUACUGGCACACUUGUAGAUGUUCCAUAAUUCAUGUAAAUUUACUUCAGAUGAAUUGUAGUUUUUGUGUUCAAAUUCAUAUAAAAACGAAAUGAUUUAAGUUUCGUUCUUUGAAUAUCGCCAUACAGAAAUAAAAUAGAACAAGGGGAGUACUUUUCUAGGUCUCUAUUUGAUAUUUUAUCAGUAACAAUUUGAAAAUAGUCAUAACUCAUACACGUAGUAGUAGGUGGAAAUGUUUCUGAUUGAAUUCGGCAUAAAAAUAUUUUUAUGGAAAAAAAGUUUCUUCUAGUUUUGGUUUAUAAGUGGAUCAAUUUUUGUGGAAAAAAAGUUUCUGCUAGUUUUGGUUUCUAAGUGGAUCAUUCCCUAGCGCUCUACUAAAUGAUUUAAUUUUAUAUAAAGAAGAUGAAAUUAUAAGAAAAAAGAGAAAAAAGAAAAAGACUAGAGAUCUAAAGAAGGGAAAACUUAAAGUAUGUGGUAAUAACUUCUUUUAUUCAUCACAUAAUCUCUGCAUUUUGCAAGGAGAUUGAAACUGAGCAAACAUACACAAAGACAUAAAAGUAAAAAUACAAAUAUAAAUAGAGUACAAACAAUAUCACUAAUAACUUAGAGAACAUGAAGCUACAAAAGAACUUCGCCUCCCGUGGGGCUUAUUGUUUACUCUUUUUUCUUCUUUUUGGCAUUGCCUCUCGAAAUGGAAAAUGCCUUUCCUUGAGCUCAACAUUCUGCUUUUCCUGCAUAAGAAUAUAAUAUUGUCAAUGAGAACAUAUAGUAACUGAUUAAUAAACCUAAUAAGUAGGAGAUAGCAUAGGCUUAUAUAUUAAUGCGUUUGCAUGAAGAAAUUGUGCAACUUGUAUUGAUUUGCAUUUAGACAAAUCAUUUUUAAGAAUUUUAGUUUGGCUUAAUUACCUUAGAUUUGAUGUUGUUGUUUCUUAGUGAUGGUAGGGAGGAGGUGGAGACUUGUAAACCGGAGUUGGUGGUGGUGGAGACUUGUAUACUGGUGCAGGAUGGUGUGGUGUUGGUGAAGGAUGGUAUGGAUUCACUGGUGGUGGUGACUUGUAAACGGGUGUUGGUGGUGGUGGAGAUUUGUAUACUGGUGCAGGGUGGUAUGACUUCACUGGUGGUGGUGGUGACUGGUAAACGGGUGUUGGUGGUGGUGGAGACUUAUAAACUGGUGCAGGAUGAUAUGGCUUCACUGGUGAUGGUGGUGACUUGUAAACGGGUGUUGGUGGUGGUGGAGACUUAUAAAUUGGUGUGGGAUGAUAUGGUGUUGGUGGAGGAUAGUAUGGCCUCUUAGGUGGUGGUGGUGACUUGUAAACUGGAGUUGGUGGUGGUGGCGACUUGUACACUGGAGUGUGUGGCGGGUAGUAUGGCUUUUUGGGUGGUGGUGGGGACUUGUAAACUGGAGUUGGGGGUGGUGGAGACUUGUAAACUGGGGUGUGUGGAGGGUAGUGUGGUGGUGACUUGUAAACUGGAGUCGGGGGUGGUGGAGACUUGUAAACUGGGGUGUGUGGAGGAUAAUGUGGCUUCUUUGGUGGUGGUGGGGACUUGUAAACUGGAGUGUGUGGAGGAUAGUGUGGCUUCUUCGGUGGUGGUGGUGACUUGUAAACAGGAGUUGGUGGUGGUGGCGACUUGUGAACUGGUGCGGGAUGAUAAGGUGUUGGUGAAGGGUGGUAUGGCUUCUUAGGUGGUGGUGGAGAUUUGUAAACAGGAUGAUGAUGGUGUGGUGGAGGGGACUUAUAUACUGGGUGGUGAUGGUUUGGUGGAGGAGACUUAUAUACUGGGUGGUGGG